rnacentral:rRNA from 1 species
GGAGGGUGCAAGCGUUAAUCGGAAUUACUGGGCGUAAAGCGCGCGUAGGUGGUUUGUUAAGUGGAAUGUGAAAGCCCUGGGCUCAACCUAGGAAUUGCAUCCCAAACUGGCAGACUAGAGUACAAGAGAGGGGUGUGGAAUUUCCUGUGUAGCGGUGAAAUGCGUAGAUAUAGGAAGGAACAUCAGUGGCGAAGGCGACGCCUGGCUUGAUACUGACACUGAGGUGCGAAACGGUGGGGAGCAAACAGGAUUAGAUACCCCUGGUAGUCCACGCCGUAAACGAUGUCUACUAGCCCGUUGGGGACUUGAUCCCUUAGUGCGAACGUAACGCGAUAAGUAGACCCGCCUGGGAGUACGGUCGCAAGAUUAAAACUCAAAUGAAUUGACGGGGCCCGCACAAGGCUGAGCAUGUGGUUAAUUCGACGCAACCGAAAACCCUUACCCUGGCUUGACAUCCUGUACUCUAGAGAUAGAUGGUCCUCCGGACACAGUGACAGGU